rnacentral:rRNA from 1 species
UACGUAGGUGACAAGCGUUGUCCGGAUUUACUGGGCGUAAAGAGCGCGCAGGCGGUCGUUCAAGUCGAGUGUGAAAGCCCCCGGCUCAACUGGGGAGGGUCACUCGAUACUGAUCGACUUGAAGGCAGGAGAGGGAAGCGGAAUUCCCGGUGUAGUGGUGAAAUGCGUAGAUAUCGGGAGGAACACCAAUGGCGAAGGCAGCUUGCUGGGACGGUACUGACGCUGAGACGCGGAAAGCGGUGGGGAGCAAACAGG